UUAUUUUUCGGUAGUGAUAGGUGAUUUCUCUGCCGCCUGUGAAAUGAGCCAAUUCAAGCCAGAUUAGAUUAUAUUAAAUGCAGCUUUAUUGGGAAGCUGAUUUCAGGAAAAAGAAACUUACCAGUCCCAGGAAGGUAGAGGGGUUAUUCUAGAAUCUUAAGGUGGGGGACUAAGCCUCUUGCUUCCAAGCCACUGGAUCCAUCAGCUGCUCCUGUCUCAACAGAAGUAAAGCUCACUCUGUAGCAAGG